GCUAUUGUGUCAGACUCAUCUCCCGCUGAAGAGGAUCCAGCGACAUCAAGAGAUUACGGAAAAUCACGCGAGAUAACUGGCUUGCACCUUGUUGGGUUUUUUCAAGGGCAGAGGGGAGAUUCCUGGCGUGCAUCCACUUAAUUUGAAGAAGAACAUCACCUGAUCACCUGUCUGUAAUCCACCUGCUUAAGUUCUGGUCAAGGGGCUCAUCGGCUAUCAAGUUAUAGAUUUCAGUGGCUAAUAGAUGACACUGCUGAGGGCAGAUGAGAGUGCAUCCUCAAAGGUCUGUGUGUACCUAAAUGAAGAUCCAGAGAAGCUGGUGAGGGAGUACAUGGUAUGUUAAAUUCUCUUUGUGUUUAC